UGCAGUCGAACGAUGAUCCCAGCUUGCUGGGGGAUUAGUGGCGAACGGGUGAGUAACACGUGAGUAACCUGCCCUUGACUCUGGGAUAAGCCUGGGAAACUGGGUCUAAUACCGGAUACGACCAUCUGGCGCAUGUCAUGGUGGUGGAAAGCUUUUGUGGUUUUGGAUGGACUCGCGGCCUAUCAGCUUGUUGGUGGGGUAAUGGCCUACCAAGGCGACGACGGGUAGCCGGCCUGAGAGGGUGACCGGCCACACUGGGACUGAGACACGGCCCAGACUCCUACGGGAGGCAGCAGUGGGGAAUAUUGCACAAUGGGCGCAAGCCUGAUGCAGCGACGCCGCGUGAGGGAUGACGGCCUUCGGGUUGUAAACCUCUUUCAGUAGGGAAGAAGCGAAAGUGACGGUACCUGCAGAAGAAGCGCCGGCUAACUACGUGCCAGCAGCCGCGGUAAUACGUAGGGCGCAAGCGUUAUCCGGAAUUAUUGGGCGUAAAGAGCUCGUAGGCGGUUUGUCGCGUCUGCUGUGAAAGACCGGGGCUCAACUCCGGUU
rnacentral:rRNA from 1 species